rnacentral:rRNA from 2 species
UCAGGACGAACGCUGGCGGCGUGCCUAAUACAUGCAAGUCGAGCGGACUUGCUGGAGCUUGCUCCAGCAGGUUAGCGGCGGACGGGUGAGUAACACGUGGGCAACCUGCCUGUAAGACUGGGAUAACUCCGGGAAACCGGAGCUAAUACCGGAUAGUAUCUUGAACCGCAUGGUUCAAGUUGGAAAGACGGUUUCGGCUGUCACUUACAGAUGGGCCCGCGGCGCAUUAGCUAGUUGGUGAGGUAAUGGCUCACCAAGGCAACGAUGCGUAGCCGACCUGAGAGGGUGAUCGGCCACACUGGGACUGAGACACGGCCCAGACUCCUACGGGAGGCAGCAGUAGGGAAUCUUCCGCAAUGGACGAAAGUCUGACGGAGCAACGCCGCGUGAGUGAUGAAGGUUUUCGGAUCGUAAAACUCUGUUGUUAGGGAAGAACAAGUGCGAGAGUAACUGCUCGCACCUUGACGGUACCUAACCA